rnacentral:misc_RNA from 1 species
GAUGAAGAACGUAGCGAAAUGCGAUAAGUAAUGUGAAUUGCAGAAUUCAGUGAAUCAUCGAAUCUUUGAACGCACAUUGCGCCCGCCAGUAUUCUGGCGGGCAUGCCUGUCCGAGCGUCAUUUCAACCCUCGAACCCCUCCGGGGGUCCGGCGUUGGGGAUCGGGAACCCCUAAGACGGGAUCCCGGCCCCGAAAUACAGUGGCGGUCUCGCCGCAGCCUCUCAUGCGCAGUAGUUUGCACAACUCGCACCGGGAGCGCGGCGCGUCCACGUCCGUAAAACACCCAACUUCUGAAAUGUUGACCUCGGAUCAGGUAGGAAUACCCGCUGAACUUAAGCAUAUAAUAAGCGGAGGA